CUCAAAAGCGCUGGGCCACAGCUGAGAACGGACGUGUGCGCGUGUGUGUCUGUGACAAAUAUUUUCCCUAAAAUACAAAUUCUCCUAAUACAAUUGGAAAAUGUAAAGUAAAUAUAUUCCUAUGCUAUAACAAAUAAACACAAAUCAAAAACUUAAUCAAAGCUUAAGCAAACCCCUAACAAAACCUUGACAAGACGCGAGUGAAGUUAAUACUCUUUAGUUGCUAUUGCCCCACAAAAUGCUGCCAAACCACGCCUGAGCCUCAAUCUCAAUCUCAACCUGAACUAGGGCCAUAACCAGAACACAACUGUGAUCAUAGACAUAACAACGAUAGUGGUAUAGUGGUGCCGUACGAAAGCCAUUGGAGAAACCAGGAGAACCAGCGUCACAGCCAAAGAUGAGGGAAUCCGGGGACACAGCCAGCAGCCUGCCAGACCGCAACUGAGCGAUUUAUAGAUCCGCAGAUAAUACCCGGGACCGGAAAAUCCAAAUCAAUUUCCCCCGGCGAUAGCAAUCGGCAGAGGAAAAGGUGCAGGACAUCGGCCAACAGAGCAGCACAUUCGCCAAAAAGGAGGCUGUAAUGACGACAAUUGACGCGAUGUAGCGCAGACUUAUGGUCGGCGAACGCGACAGGGACCGUGAGGCGGUACGCUGGGCAACGGGUGAAUCGACACCGCUUCAAACCAAUAAUGGAGUAUUACAAAUGGUCGGGCAAUUGCAAUGUGGACAGGCUGCUGGCCAGCAACAGCAACAGCAACAAGCGACUCAGCAACAGCAACUCUCGAAGCAGCAGCAGCAGCAGCAGCAACAUCAGCAGCAGCAACUGCAACUCAAGCAGCAACAGCAACAGCAGCAGCAGCAGCAGCAACAGGACAUCCUGUAUCAGCAACAUAACGAGGCAAUUGCAAUUGCACGCGGACUGCAGGCUGCAACACCUGCCGACAUCGGCGAUAAUCAGCCGUACUACGAUACAAGCGGUAAUGUCGAUUGGGAGCGGGCGAUGGGAACCGGUGGAGCUGGUGCAUAUGGUGGCAUCGGCAUCGGAUCUCUACCAGCAGCUGGCGGUGCUGCUUAUCACCUUGGGCCAGCUAAUACCGCCGGCCUCGUUUCUCGUCACCUGGAUUACGCUGAUGGCGGCCACCUUGCUGGCCCAUCCGCCGGUCUUCCUGCUGGUGCUGUGGGAUCAGGAGCAGGAGCGGGUACGGGUGCGUCAGCGGGAGCAUCAGUCACGGGAUCAGGAGCAGGAGCAGGAUCGGGAGCAACAGGGACAGGGACAGGAACAGGAACUGGAGCCGGAUCUGGAUCGGGCGGUGGAGCAGCAGGCAAGGAAGUUCGCUACGCCCCAUUCCCAGUCGCAUCACCAACGCACUCGAUUCCCACAACUUCCCAGCAGAUCGUUGGCAGCGUCGGUGGCGGGGGCGUCGGUGGUGCCAGCAGCCAGUCGAUUUCAGGCGGUGUACCAACUCAUAGCCAGAGCAACACCACCGGCGCCCUGCAGCGGACACAUUCCAGAUCCAUGUCCUCCAUACCGCCGCCCGAGCCGUUCAUGAUAGCCCAGUCGAAGGCGGUCAACAGCCGCGUGUCCAUCAACGUGGGCGGGGUGAGGCACGAGGUACUGUGGAGGACGCUGGAGCGGCUGCCCCACACGCGACUCGGGCGGCUGAGGGAGUGCACCACCCACGAGGCCAUCGUGGAGCUGUGCGACGACUACUCGCUGGCGGACAACGAGUACUUCUUCGACCGACAUCCGAAGAGCUUCAGCUCCAUCCUGAACUUCUAUCGCACCGGCAAGCUGCACAUCGUCGACGAGAUGUGCGUGCUCGCGUUUAGUGAUGACCUGGAGUACUGGGGCGUCGACGAACUGUACCUGGAGUCCUGCUGCCAGCACAAGUACCACCAGCGCAAGGAGAACGUCCACGAGGAGAUGCGCAAGGAGGCCGAGUCCCUGCGGCAGCGCGACGAGGAGGAGUUCGGCGAAGGUAAAUGCGCCGAGUACCAGAAGUAUCUGUGGGAGCUCCUGGAGAAGCCCAACACCAGUUUCGCCGCCCGGGUUAUCGCAGUGAUAUCCAUACUAUUCAUAGUCCUGUCUACCAUAGCCCUGACGUUGAACACCCUACCACAACUACAACACAUUGACAACGGUACACCACAGGAUAAUCCGCAAUUGGCAAUGGUUGAGGCCGUGUGUAUCACGUGGUUCACUCUAGAGUACAUACUUAGGUUUAGCGCCUCGCCGGACAAGUGGAAGUUCUUUAAGGGCGGCCUUAACAUAAUCGAUCUAUUGGCAAUACUCCCAUACUUUGUUUCGUUAUUUCUAUUGGAAACGAAUAAGAAUGCAACGGACCAGUUCCAGGAUGUGCGUCGGGUGGUGCAGGUCUUUCGCAUCAUGCGCAUCCUGCGAAUCCUUAAGCUGGCCCGUCACUCAACGGGCCUGCAGUCGUUAGGCUUUACGCUGCGUAACUCGUAUAAGGAACUCGGUCUACUAAUGCUGUUCCUGGCCAUGGGCGUUCUCAUAUUUUCUUCGCUGGCAUAUUUUGCCGAAAAGGAUGAAAAGGAUACAAAAUUCGUUUCAAUACCGGAAACAUUUUGGUGGGCGGGUAUUACAAUGACAACUGUUGGCUACGGGGACAUCUAUCCCACAACUGCACUGGGAAAGGUUAUUGGUACUGUGUGUUGCAUAUGCGGUGUUCUGGUAAUCGCUUUGCCUAUUCCCAUCAUCGUUAACAAUUUUGCUGAAUUUUAUAAGAAUCAGAUGCGCCGCGAAAAGGCCCUCAAGCGUCGCGAGGCACUCGAUCGUGCCAAGCGCGAGGGCAGCAUUGUCUCCUUUCAUCAUAUCAAUCUGAAAGAUGCCUUCGCCAAGUCCAUGGAUCUCAUCGAUGUGAUUGUCGACACAGAAAAGCGCGAGAGUCACACACGAUCACUCAAAAAUUGGCACCGUUUAACCCACGCGCUCCGCCGAUCGCCCACAGGCCACAAUCUCUCGCAAACGGACGGCAACAGCACCGAAGGCGAGUCCACCAGCGGACGCAAUCCGGCCACCACCGGAACCGGAUGCUAUAAGAAUUACGACCACGUAGCCAACCUGCGCAACUCCAACCUGCACAACCGACGCGGCUCCAGCUCUGAGCAGGAUGCAGUGCCGCCGUACAGCUUCGACAAUCCCAAUGCCCGCCAGACCUCGAUGAUGGCCAUGGAGAGCUAUCGCCGCGAGCAGCAGGCAUUGCUGCUGCAACAGCAACAGCAGCAGCAGCAACAGAUGUUGCAGAUGCAACAGAUUCAGCAAAAAGCGCCAAACGGAAAUGGAGGUGCGACCGGAGGAGGAGGAGUGGCCAACAACCUGGCCAUGGUGGCCGCAUCCAGUGCGGCAACAGCCGUGGCCACAGCCACCAAUGCCAGUAAUGCCAGUAACACCGCUCCCGGAACGGAGGGCGCCGAGGGAGGCGGCGAUGGAGAUGGGGGUGUGGUUGAUGACGACAACCUGUCCCAGGCGAAGGGACUGCCCAUCCAGAUGAUGAUCACGCCCGGGAUUUUACGGGGACGCAGUAAGGAGGAAGUGGCCGAGCUGCGUCGCCAGGUGGCCCUGGAGAACCUGCAGAACCAGCGGAUGGACAACCUGGAGCAGGACGUGCCCGUGGAAUUCGAGUGCUGUUUCUGCACGACCAAGGAUCGCAUUUGUGUGUUCCACGAUAAGGAGUAUAGCAUCAAGCGGCUGGCCCGACCGCCGCCCUCGCCCAAAAACUAUAUGGCCCUCAAGCGGAUGCUCGAGGAGGGCACUAUCGACAUAUACUAUCUAUGAGGCAUAUACCAUCUAUGAGGCAUAUACUAUCUAUAAGGCAUACUACUAUAUACUAUGGUAGCAACCCAGAUGGGUUUGCCGGGAUGCCAUGGCGAGUGUAUUCCAUUGCGCGCGAAUAGCGUUUAGCCAGAUUCUCAAGAAACCCCGACGAGAUUCGAUAUAGAAAUCGAGAAAUCGUGAAAUCGAGAAAUCGAGAAAUACUUAGAAUGCCGAGCGCAUCGAAUGCGUGACCGGCACUGCGAAUUGCGAUUAGACGUUAACUAGCUUUAAACUACCAACAAAACAAAUUACAACUAAAUGUUAUUAUUAUUGCUACGAUUAUACAAGUACUGUUAUACUGUUAUUAUUAUUAUCAACGGGCCUGGCGUGAUGUGACGUGAAAGCUAAACAAAGACAUAGCGAAUUCUAAGAAUUUAAUUAAAUUAACUAAAGCCUAAUCUACCAUCUAGAAACGCAACCAGGAGUGGAGAGCAAAACAAAGCAAAACAAAGCAGCAUGUGUUAUUAUUUAAUUUAAUUUAAUUAAUUUAAUUUUAACUCUGUACCAACCAAGUGACCGAAGCUUGAGGGCUUGACGAAAGUUUAAAUCGAUUCUUUUCAUUUACACACUAAGCACGUAAUUACAACUAGCCUAAUACCUAAAUAUUUAUAUCCUAGCAAAAUGGCCUAAGCCUUAAUUAUAGUAGCUGCAAUUUGCAAAACGCCAAAUACCAGAAACCAGAAAACCAGCAAAACAACGAAUAUACAUAACUAUGAAAACCAAAUAUACAAUUGUUUAGUUACUGGAACUAUCAAUGUUAUAGCUCUCUUGAUUAUUAGUCGUUUAUUUCCUGUUAUCACUCAUCCCAAAACAAAUUCAAAGAAAACCACAAACCGAAUGAACAAAUUAUGCAAAUAAAAAGAAUACAUAAACAAA
rnacentral:misc_RNA from 1 species